rnacentral:rRNA from 1 species
UACGUAGGGUGCGAGCGUUAAUCGGAAUUACUGGGCGUAAAGCGUGCGCAGGCGGUUCCAUAAGACAGAUGUGAAAUCCCCGGGCUUAACCUGGGAACUGCGUUUGUGACUGUGGGACUCGAGUGUGGCAGAGGGGGGUGGAAUUCCACGUGUAGCAGUGAAAUGCGUAGAGAUGUGGAGGAACACCGAUGGCGAAGGCAGCCCCCUGGGUCAACACUGACGCUCAUGCACGAAAGCGUGGGGAGCAAAC